CUUAUGUCAUUUUCUAAUAAAAAAAUGAUCUUAUCAUGAUUCAUUGUAAAAAUAACAUAAUUAUGGCCUUGUAUGGCAUUUUUUUCUCAAGCAAGGCACACAGAGAAAUGUAGAAUGCUGCUGAGGUGUUUCAGUACAUCAUUCCCAACUGUUGAUGAGAACAAUUUGACAACACUGGGUAAAAAAAUAAAGUCAACAGAAAUUAGAAAUAUGCUAAUUUUAGUCUUUUCAUGAUUAUAAAAAUUACCAACCAGCAGUAAAGGAAACCAAUUUUCUUUAAAUAUCAUCACAUCAUGAAGUAUACACAUGAUACGUAACUGCUCAUGAAGCUUGGACUAGUCAGAAUUUGUAUUCUUUAAUAAAUUCUCUUUUCAUGGAAAUUUGUGAAAUGAUACUUAUCCAAUAUUUUGUCUCCACAGUUGAAAUAAUCUGACCUGGAUCCCGAUAUUUGUGAUUCAUAAUGACUGGGGAAUACUUUUUGUGAACAGCACUUCAUCAGGUCCGUCAGGUCCAUCCAUCAGGUCCUGAUCAGGUCCAUCAGGGCUGCCUAAUACCACUGA